GGGGGUAUAGCUCAGUUGGUAGAGUGCUUGCCUCACAUGCACUAAGGCCCUGGGUUCAAUCCCCAGCAUCAUCA
rfam:Ictidomys tridecemlineatus contig010918, whole genome shotgun sequence.